GACGUAGGGCGCGAGCGUUGUCCGGAUUUAUUGGGCGUAAAGAGCUCGUAGGCGGCUCAUUGCGUCAACCGUGAAAACCAGCAGCUCAACUGUUGGCUUGCGGUUGAUACGGGUGGGCUGGAGUUCGGUAGGGGAGACUGGAAUUCCUGGUGUAGCGGUGAAAUGCGCAGAUAUCAGGAGGAACACCGGUGGCGAAGGCGGGUCUCUGGGCCGAUACUGACGCUGAGGAGCGAAAGCGUGGGGAGCGAACGGG
rnacentral:rRNA from 1 species